rnacentral:rRNA from 1 species
AAUUGAUACUUGUUAAGAGAUUUAGAUUGUACUCAUUCCAAUUAUUAGAAAUUUUUUAAUUUCCAAUAUUGUUAUUUAUUGUCACUACCUCCCCGUUUUGGGAUUGGGUAAUUUGCGCGCCUGCUGCCUUCCUUGGAAGUAGUAGCCGUUUCUCAGGCUCCUUCUCCGGAAUCAAACCCUGAUUCUCCGUUACCCGUUACCACCAUGGUAGUCCUCUAUACUACCAUCGAAAGUUGAUAGGGCAGAUAUUUGAAUGAACUAUCGUCAGUACAAAAGACUAUACGAUUAGUUUAAUUACUAUGAAUCACCAAUUUUAACUUUUAAUUUUUCAACUAAAAGUAUUGGUUUUGUAUCUAAUAAAUACAACCUUUCCAUUCCUAGUCAGGUUUUUAUGCAUGUAUUAGCUCUAGUUUUACCACGGUUAUCCAAGUGGUAAUUACCAUCAAAUAAAUUAUAACUGAUUUAAUGAGCCAUUCGCAGUUUUGCUGUACAAGUGCUUAUACUUAGACAUGCAUGGCUUAGUCUUUAAGACAAGCAUAUGACUA